GUGGGGAAUAUUGGACAAUGGGCGCAAGCCUGAUCCAGCCAUGCCGCGUGAGUGAUGAAGGCCUUCGGGUCGUAAAGCUCUGUUGCAGGGGAAUAAAAAAAUGAAGGUACCCUGUGAGGAAGGAUCGGCUAACUUCGUGCCAGCAGCCGCGGUAAGACGAGGGAUCCUAGCGUUGCUCGGAAUCAUUGGGCGUAAAGAGGGCGUAGGUGGCUUGGUAAGUCAGGUGUGAAAGCCCAGGGCUCAACCCUGGAAGUGCAUUUGAUACUGCUGAGCUUGAGUGUCGGAGAGGUUACCGGAAUACCUGGUGUAGUGGUGAAAUACGUAGAUAUCAGGUGGAACACCGGAGGCGAAGGCGGGUAACUGGACGAACACUGACACUGAGGCCCGAAAGCGUGGGGAUCAAACAGGAUUAGAAACCCUGGUAGUCC
rnacentral:rRNA from 1 species